CUAGCCGUAAACGAUGGGUACUAGGUGUAGGGAGUUUCGAUACUUUCUGUGCCGGAGUUAACGCAAUAAGUACCCCGCCUGGGGAGUACGUGCGCAAGCAUGAAACUCAAAGGAAUUGACGGGGGCCCGCACAAGCGGUGGAGCAUGUGGUUUAAUUCGAAGCAACGCGAAGAACCUUACCAGGGCUUGACAUCCCUUGACAGCCACAGAGAUGUGGUUUCUCUUCGGAGCAAGGAGACAGGUGG
rnacentral:rRNA from 1 species